GAUGAACGCUGGCGGCGUGCCUAAUACAUGCAAGUCGAGCGAACAGACGAGGAUCUUGCUCCUCUGACGUUACCGGCGGACGGGUGAGUCACACGUGGAUAACCUACCUAUAAGACUUGGAUAACUUCGGGAAACCGUAGUUACUACCGGAUAAUAUAUUUAACCGCAUGGUUCAAUAGUGAAUUCCGGUUUUGCUGUCACUUAUAGCUAUCUCCUCGCCGCAUGAGCUAUUUGGUAGGGUAACGGCCUACCAAGGCAACCAUGCGUAGACGAACUGAGAGAGGGAUCGGCGACCCUGGAAGGGAGACGCCGACCUGGCGCCUACGGGAGGGCGCAGUAGGGAAUCGUCCGCAGUGGGCGAGAGCCUGACGGAGCAACGCCACGUGAGUGAUGAAGGUCUUCGGAUCGGAAAAAUCGGUUUUUAGUGAAGAACAAAUGUGUAAGUGACUAUGGACGUCUGUGCGGUAACUAAUCAGAAAGCCACGGCUAACUACGUG
rnacentral:rRNA from 1 species